AAAAUUUAAGUAAUUAAAUAUUUUAAAUUUCUACCUGAUUGAAGUAGUGAUGUAUAUUGGUGUUGGUGGAGUGGUAACGACGACGGUGAACACGGUAUUGAAGGUCAAUUCCACCAAUUUCCAUGUUGUGUGAAUCGCGCACUAUAUCUAUAUUGACAAAUCAAAUCAGUAUUCUUAGGUGAUGGUAUUGAAAUUCCCAUCUUCACUGAUUCGAGAUGGAAAAUGAAGAUCGUACAUGGAUGUAUAAUAGACAAUAUCCUAACCGUGCGGGGUUGAGGGAGAAAUAUAAAGCUGGGGUAGCUGGAUUUAUUGCUAAAGCAAUGACACUUAAUGAUUUUCUUACUGAAGGGACAAUUAGGUGUUCUUGUUGGAAUUGCAAGUGUUGAAAGUUAUUGAGUUCAGAUGUUGUUACAUUACAUCUUUAUAGGAAGGGUUUUAUGUUGAAUUAUACUGUGUGGACAGCUCAUGGAGAGAGUAGUACUGCUAAUAAUUUUGCUUUUCAGAAUUAUAUUGAAAGUCCAAUAAGAGAGAAUAAUGUUGAAAGUUCACGAUAUAGUGAGAUGGUCAGGGAUGCUUUUGGGACACACUCAGGGGCUCAAAAUGAACCAAAUGAUGAGGCUAAUCACUUUUAUGAAUAGUUAAAGGAAGCUAGUCAUCCAUUGUAUAAAGGAUCAAUGCAUUCUAAGUUAUUUGUUGCCGUUCGGUUACUGAGUAUUAAGUCAGAUUAUUCAAUUUCUCAAGAGGGCAUGAAUUCUAUCAUUGGACUUAUGAAUGAACUUAACCCAAAUAAACUUGACUUACCCAAAGAUUUUUACACAACAAAGAAGUUGGUUUCUAAGUUAGGACUUUCAUCAGAGAGAAUUCAUUGUUGCGAGAAAGGUUGCAUGUUAUUCUAUAAGGAAGAUGCAAAUUUAGAACAUUGCAAAUUUUGUAAUCAGCCUCGUUAUAAGGAAGUCACGCAUGCCAAAGGGAAGAAGGUUCCUGUGAAGUCAAUGCAAUACUUACCCUUUAUACCAUGGUUAAAGAGGUUGUAUGCAUCAAUGAGUUCUGACCCUCAUAUGAGAUGGCACUAUGAAAAUAAAAGACUACCUGGUGUUUUAUGUCAUCCGUCAGAUAGAGAAGCAUGGAAGCAUUUUGAUAGUGUGUAUUCGGAUUUUGCUAGUGAUCCAAGAAACAUUAGGUUGGGUUUAUCUACUAAUGGAUUAACUCCAUUUUUUGUUUUAGCUACACCAUAUUCAUGUUGGGCCAGUGUUUGUGACUCUUUAUAAUCUCCCGCCUGAAUUUUGUAUGACGAGUCCGUAUAUAUUUCUAACUUGCAUUAUUCCAGGUCCUCGCAAUCCAAAAGUUUUGAUUGAUGUAUAUUUGCAGCUAUUUAUUAAUGAGUUGAACUUAUUAUGGCAUGAAGGUGUGAAAGCAUAUGAUGUAUCAAUGAAACAAAACUUUAGAUUGCGUGCUACUUUGAUAUGGACUAUAAAUGACUUUCCUGCUUAUGGAAUGAUGUCUGGGUGGUCGACUGCAGGUAAGUUAGCUUGCUCUUGUUGUAUGGAAGACAUUAAAGUAUUCACUUUGAAACAUGGGGGUAAAAAAUCAUGGUUUGACUGUCACCUUCGAUUCUUGCCAAUGCAACAUGAGUUUAGGAGAAAUACCAGUGAUUUUAUGAAGAAUAAGACUUAUUUUGAGGAGCCACCAUCAAUUUUGUUGCAAGAAGAAAUUUGGGAUAGAGUCAGGAAUCUACCUAAGGUAACAGAGUCUCCAUCAUCCAGGAUACCUGGUUAUGGUGUUACACAUAACUGGACUAAACGAAGAAUAUUUUGAGAGUUAGAUUACUAAAAGGAUAAUCUUCUGUCUCAUAAUCUAGAUGCCAUGCAUAUUGAGAAAAACUUCUUUGACAACUUGUUUAAUACUGUGAUGGAUGUAAAUAAUAAAACAAAAGAUAACUUGAAGGCCAGAAUGGACUUAAAGGAGUAUUGUCGGCGCAGUGAGUUGUGCCUGACAUACUUAAACAAUAAGAUUCAGAAGCCCAGGGCUAGUUACACAUUCACUUUGGAGGAUAGAAGAGUGAUUUGUGAUUGGGUUAACAAUUUGAGAAUGCCAGAUGGAUAUGCGUCAAAUUUGUCUAGGUGUGUUGACAUGAAGGAAGGAAAGUUGACCUCUAUGAAGAGCCAUGACUGUCACAUUUUCAUGGAGUCAUUGAUACCUAUUGCAUUUUGUUCAUUGCCCGAUAGAAUCUGGAAGCCCAUAACAGAGAUAAACUUAUUUUUCAAAGAUUUAUGUUCUAACACAUUAAGGGUGGAGAACCUAUCUUUGAUGGAUAUCAACAUUCGCUUAACCUUAAACAAGUUGGCAAAAAAAUUUCCUCCUAUUUUUUUUUUAUGUUAUGGAGCAUCUUCCAAUUCACCUUGUGCGAGAGGCACGACUUAGAGGGCUUGUUCACUGUAGAUGGAUUUAUCCCUUUCAGAGGUAUUGACUUUUAAAAUUUACCUUCAUGUAUUUUAAUUGAACAUUAUUUCAUCUAAAAGAUCAUUCUAUGCAGGACCAUUGGCAAAUGUAAGCGGACCAUAAAAAAUAGAUCUCGAAUUGAGGGAUCAAUAUGUAGGCUUAUUUGGCUAAAGAGACCUCUUAUUUUUGUUCAUGUUAUUUUGAACAUGAUGUAACAUGUAUGAGAAACCGACCUAAUAGGCAUGAUGAUGGAUACAAUACAGAUCCUUCAGCACCACCAUUUUCAAUAUUCAAUCAACCAGGUAAAGAAAGUCCGAAAGUUGGUCCCCUUUAAUUUGAAUGAGGUGGAGCUUAAGUCAGCUACAACGCAUUUAUUAUUAAAUUGUCCUGAGGUCCUGCCUUUUUAUAACUACUUCGUGGCUUUACACGGGGAUGCUGCUGUUUAUCCUAUGUUUUCAGCGUGGUUUAGAGAAUAUAUUAUAGGCACCGCGAUUUGAAAAAACAGAUGCUCGAAGCUAAAGUAUAUGUAUUUGGAAUGUCAAAUGUUUAGGGAGUUACCUUUAUAUUCUGUCGGGAGUUUGGAUUGCUCCACCUAAGUAGAACGAAAAGAAGGAAUUGGAAAAUAAAAAGGGGGAGCUAUAUGGAGACAAUCAAGAGUGAUUCCAUGUCAUGUUCUCUACGAAGUAAACUAUAUACACCAGUAUAGUGACACUUUUCAAGGCUAUGCCAAAGUUUGCGAGAUAAAGUCCCCAUUGAAAGAGCAAAUGAUUAUUACUAAAGAAUUGGGUACCCCUAUCACAUCAGCAAAACCAAACAGCUUCAGUUGUAGAAGUAUUUAGAAUCAUAGAGGAGGUAUGAAUCUUACUUACUGAUAUUGUCCUUUUCAUUUGAAUAAAUUUGAUUUCACCCUCUAUUUAUCUUUAAGAUAUUAUAUGGUGAAGCUACUGUAAGUGUGAAUAUUUCCCUUAGUGUUCUCCGGAGGUAGUGGUAUGGACUGCGUACAUCUUACCCCCCAGACCCCACUAUGUGGGAAUAUACUGGGUUUGUUGUUGUUGUUGUUUCUAUAUUUGAAAUAUUCCUUGGAUGCUUUACGGAUAUAUACUUUUUUCUGCUGAACUUUGAUUCAAAAGUGGAUAGAGAGGAAACUCCUUGCUAAUAGUUCUUAUGAAUUGUCCAUGUUAUAACAACACUACAGUAGAUUGGAACUUGUAUGUGAAUACUCUUUUCUAGGAAUCUGAACUACAGUAGAUACUACAGCUCGAGUGGUAAGUUUUGUCUAAUAGAUAUAUGAAAAAAAGGUGUUUCUUAAUCAUAUGUCAGCAUGUCACCAAGACUAUUUAGAGUGUUCAGUUAUAUACAGAAAACAUCUACCAAGCUGAGUGUUGUCUGUUUUGUUCAAUUUGGUUGUUCUUUUUUUCCCAAGUGGUUAAUAAAGAAAAUUAAUGGCAUCAAAAGGUCAUGGUAAUGGACGGCGUAAGAAAGGUAAGAAAGGACCUGAUAAUCUUCCCGUAGGUUAAUAUACAACACCACCUGUUACCACAACUCUUCAGCCAGCUACUACAAAUAUUCUUCCUCCUCCAAGGGAAACUAUUUCAUUACCAAAUGCAUUUUUCAUGCCCCACCGCCCCACCAGUUAUAGCCCUCUUCUCCCCAUAAUAGUAUGCAUAGUAGCUGUUCAUCUGUACCUUCGACAUCAUCCACACCUAGCCUUUCUGGAUUGAGAAUUGGAGGUCCUAGCACAUCAGCAUCGCCAUCCAUUGAUAGUGGUACAACGCCUAAUGCUACAGUGGCUGCUUCCCAGAUUUUGAAAUUUAAAGAGGUAGUAGAAUAUGACGGCAAUGGGAGGCUAAUUAUUGCCCCUGAUGGUAAUGAGUAAGUAACCCUUAUGUUUUUUCGUAAUUUUUAAAAUUUUCGAAAGCUAAAAUAAUUUAAUAUAAUUUUAUUGCAGGUUUAUUCCCGCAUAUAGCGCCAGACAUAUAGUUAUAGAAGCAAUUAAACUAUUUUAUACGGAGCGGUGGGGUAGUUGGAACGAGAUUCAACUCGACAUUAGAAUUCUUAUGUUGAACCAGUUUGUGACAAAGUGUGCAUGGAAUUCUUGUUAUGAAAAUGAAAUACAACCCAUUUUCAAGUUGAAAGCAGCUCUACGGAUCAAAGAAUACUUGUAUGAGGCCCGGAAGAACUUGGAAAAACCUGGUUGGCUGAAUGCUGAUGUAUGGGUCAAGUUAUUGAAAAAAUGAGAUACUCUUGAAUAUAGGGCGAGGAGGGAACGGGCAAAGGCAAAUAGAGCAUCUCAAAUGGGUGACUCGUUGCACACUGGAGGUUCGAUGAGUUUCACUACCAAUCGACGAAGAUUGAAAUAUGAAAAUGGGAGAAAAGAGCCCGCUUUUAUUGAGGUCUACGAAGAGACGCAUAGGAAGAAACAAAAGGAUGGUACAAGAGGAAAUUGGGUCGAAACGCAUGCUAAGGAUGCAUAUGAAAAAUUUCAAAAAAGCAUAGAAGACUGGUGUCAAACCCAACCUACUUCAGAGGAUGAUACCAUGGUCCAACCAUAACCUGCAGAAAUGACUAAUAUGUGGACAACUGUGGUAGGUGGUCCAAAGAAAGGUAGAACCUACGGGACAGAGUUUCUCCAAUCCUCGAGUAGUCCUUCGUUGUUUCCCAGUUCCUCUUCUACUUUGUAAACUGGGAAAGAAAUGGAAGUGAUGAAUAAGCAAAUUGUGGAAUUGACGCAGAAAUGUGCAGCUAACGAUGCUAAAUUUGCUAAAUUUGAAGAGUUGGUUAAGAAACACAUGCCUCAAGUAUUUCAUGAUGAGGAAGAUAGUGAAUAUGAUGAUAAUUAGAUUGUUGUUAUUGUUCUUGUUGUGACAUUUAGAUAUUUAAACUAUUUGAUUUGAUAUUUGUUUUGGAUGUUUUAAAGUGGUUUUAUUUAUAAAUUUUUGUCGUGUUUGAUC